UCCUCCUCCUUGACGGCAGAGACACAAAGGCGAGCCGACAGGUGAAGCGGUGGAGCGGACGGACGACGCGGAAGGAGCGUGCGGAGGGCGAUAGGUCACGGUCGCGGUGGAGCACCGGGAGCGAGCGGGUGACCACCGCUAUCCACCGACAUCACCCGAGCCCUCACCAUCCGCUCACCGGCGCCCUGCACUCACACAGCAGCAGCAGCUGCCACGUGUAAGAGCGCGGCGUGUGGGGCCAGAGGACACAGCUCAUUAACCCCCCCUGCCUCCCCCCCCCACCCAGACCCAGGCUGUGAUGGCCCAAGAGCUGCUGCCACUCCCAGGCCACACGCACGAGGUGGAGGGCCCCAUCGGAAGAAUUGUUUUAAAUUUAUUUCCCGAGCGAACUCCGCUCGCGAGUUCCACGGCGCGGUAUCAUGGGAAACGGCGUCGUGCGUCGAUGUGGGAUUCAGCCGUGAGGAGGAAGAGGAAAUUGGG